GUGGGGAAUAUUGCACAAUGGGGGAAACCCUGAUGCAGCGACGCCGCGUGGAGGAAGAAGGUCUUCGGAUUGUAAACUCCUGUUGUUGAGGAAGAUAAUGACGGUACUCAACAAGGAAGUGACGGCUAACUACGUGCCAGCAGCCGCGGUAAAACGUAGGUCACAAGCGUUGUCCGGAAUUACUGGGUGUAAAGGGAGCGCAGGCGGGAAGACAAGUUGGAAGUGAAAUCCAUGGGCUCAACCCAUGAACUGCUUUCAAAACUGUUUUUAUUGAGUAGUGCAGAGGUAGGCGGAAUUCCCGGUGUAGCGGUGGAAUGCGUAGAUAUCGGGAGGAACACCAGUGGCGAAGGCGGCCUACUGGGCACCAACUGACGCUGAGGCUCGAAAGUGUGGGUAGCAAACAGGAUUAGAAACCCGGGUAGUCC
rnacentral:rRNA from 1 species